rnacentral:rRNA from 1 species
AAUGAACGCUGGCGGCGCGCCUAAUACAUGCAAGUCGAGCGAGAAGACGUAGCAAUACGUUUGUAAAGCGGCGAACGGGUGAGGAAUACAUGGGUAACCUACCCUAGAGUGGGGAAUAACUAGCCGAAAGGUUAGCUAAUACCGCGUACGCUCCUUGGACUUCGGUUCAGGGAGGAAAGCGAUGCCGAGGGUAUCGCGCUCUUGGAUGGGCUCAUGUCCUAUCAGCUGUUGGUGAGGUAACGGCUCACCAAGGCUUCGACGGGUAGCUGGUCUGAGAGGACGAUCAGCCAC